GACAUACUGUGCAAAGUUUAAUGUCAUUUAGUGGUAGCCCAAUACUCUUAAUACAAUCUUAUUUUCAUAUUGUCCCCAAAGGUUUAUUUUAGGAUUGUAACUAUGCACUCAACCUGCAAAAACAAAACAAAAAAAUACAUAAGCAAAUGCAAGAUUUUUAUUCAACCUCUAGAGAGAUUUUUCAUGUAACUGGUGUGGUGCUUUUAUUUUGAAAGGAUAUAAAGGAGAUACUUCCACUAAUUUGCAAAAAGACAGUUGUUGUGCUAUUAUUUUGAAAGGAUGUAGUAGAUACUUCCUCUAAAUCUGUGUUUCAACUGUGUUCUUAAUGCCUGUACAGUGUCCUUGGGUGUCCAGAAAGGCGCUUUUAAAUAAAAUGUAUUAUUAUUAUUAUUAUUAUUACCUGUAGAGUCUGUAUUCUCUGUAGUCUGUAUCAGCGACAUAUAACCUGGAGCCUGAGAGAGAGAGGGUUAUCAUAUACUCUUUUCUUAACGGCAAUCUAAUAGGAUGAAAAUUGAUUUUCUAUGUGUAAAAAAAACUACAUGCUGUAACGUCAAAAUUAUCAUCUACUGCAGAUGUAAACAUGAUGACCUGAACUGGAGACGUCAAAGUCAUAAGCAGCCGCUGCUGAUUUGUGUUGUCUCUUGUAUGUAUCGAUUUUUUUCUACUGUCUCACUUACAUCCCUGGUUGGUUGUACGGAGACUUGUGAUGCAGAUAACAUAAAGUGCUGCUGUGAAAGUUAAAGGGCGUUGCACACAGAAAAUGCAGAGGAACUUUGAACCCUUAAAGCCUCUUUUAGACUUGUUUGCAUGGGAUAUAGCGCAGUUGCUGUUGAGUAAAGUUGCUUACAAAGAAAGCUCCUUACACAUGUUCUCUGCGGCUCUGAAACUGAGUGUUGAUGCUGUUGGAUUGUUCGUUGAUAUUUUGUUGAAGUUUAACCUGAAGGCACUCGUACCCCUACCGCUUUACUAAAGUAGAAGGGUGUUUCACUAAAGCGUAACAUCAUAAGUCACAAUCAUUAGACAGUGUGAUAUAAAACUCACACUUUUUCAUGAUCACAGUGUGUUCAGCUGUACCGUACAGUUUCGUAUGCCUGCCUGCUUGUGUGCGUGUGUAUCAGCAUGUGAAAGGGGUGACACAUAUACACCUCCCUGUUUUUUACCAUAGAAGGAUAGUAGCACACUACAUGGCUGAAUGAUUCAGAUUACUGACUCACAACGAGCUUUCUUCACUACGUACUCGUGUCACAAGAAGUGUACAAUCACACACACACACAAAUACACACACAGACACACACACACUUUGGAAAGUUCGUCCUUUGUGUUUGUGAAUGCGUGUGUGAGAAAAGAGACCAAGCACAUGGAGGACAGACAGCUCUGGUUACAGGUCAACUGAUAUCCACUCACACACACACACACACACUCACAAACACACAUACACAUACACACACACUGCAAACUCAGCAAGAUUCAGGUGACAUAGCUUUUCACUGAGUGUGUGUGAGUGUCAGUUUCGGAGAAGUACUCUCUCCUUUUUGCAAUGUAGGUCACUUGAGCUGGCCUCUCUCCCUCCCUUAAACUCUCCCAUGCGUCUUAGGCCUCUUCUUACUUGAAUACCCAUGGUCCUCUCUUUCUUACCUCUUUAUAUUCCUCCUUUAAAUAUCUGUAUUGAUCUUCCUCAGGCUCUCUCUUCAGUUGUUGUUUUUGCUUUUUUUCAAAGUUCAAAAUACGGCUCCUCUCUGUACAGGUUAAAAGUAGAGGACUUUGCCCUGGGUACUCUUUACAUUUACUUCUUUCUCUUUUCUUUCUCCCCUUUUUUCUUUUCUCACUGCAGGAUAAUGUGAAGUAGAAAUAAAAACACUUUCCGCUUUGAACAAGAAUGUGGGUAUGUGUUUGUGGAUAUAAAUCUCACCAUUAUUCCUGCUUUUUAGCACUGUUCACAUCACUUGUUCUUGGAUGCUAAUAUGAUUGUUUUGGUUCACUCCCAACUCCCUUAUCACUGUUAUUCCCAUGCAAAGCAGGCGACAGAUGAAAUAAGCGACCAGUUGUGAAUAUAUUGGAGCAUUUAGCCCUUCUUUCUUAGACUGGGUGGAAACAAACCCGGCUGCAGAUGAAUCCUAAUAAUGCCAAGUGUCUUAAUGACGUUUUGAUGGCCAACAGUUAUAUGGCAGUAUUUUACUUGUUUCUGCUGAUUUUUCUCAAAUCAUUUAAACCCUUUAUUCCACUGAGGAUAGACAAUAAACUGAAGAAUUGUAUCGCUUUAUAUGCUAACUUAAAAACUCAAUUGGGAGAGGGGAAACAAAACACUUUACUUUUUAAAGGCUUAUAGUUAGAGAUGGCUCAUGCUGCUGUAGGUUUGAACUGCCAGAGUAUUGGCAUAUUGAGUACCUUCCUCUCUUUCUCUUUCCUCUUUCUGUCUGUGUCUUAAACUUUGAAUCAUCAUGUCUCGUUAGAGUCACAAAUACGCAGUCUUUUCUGGGAGUCCCUGUGCUCUGGUAUGUCGUAGGUUCCUCUGGAUUGCUGCUGCAGAUGUUUUGCUGCCCUUGACCUACCUUCUUUCCAGCUGCUUCAACUAUCUGAAUCAGUCUCACCCCUAUCCAUCUCUCUCUUUCUACAUCUCCCUCUAUUUAGUUUAGUCUGAAGCUGGUCGUGAGGGCUAGUAAAUAAUAACAGAAAAGGAGAGCAGCCUGAGGACUCACUGGACACAACCACUGAUAGGGAAAAGUGGAGAAAGAUCCUGUCCUGCAAUCCAGGCGAUGGCAGCAAAGCUAGCCAGCGCUUGUCCAAGACGCAGUUAGAGGCAGUAAUAAAUUGCGACAUUUGUCAAGUUUAUGUUUAAAGGUGUUUUACAGCAAAACUCAAAGAAGAAGUUACGGGUGGGAAUCACUAGUGGCUAUAAUAUUAUCACGAUACUUGGGCCACGGCACGAUAUUAUUGCAGUCUUUAUUAUUUUGCAGUACAGUUAGAACUGCGAUACAAUAUAUCAUGAUUUAUACAUUUUUUUCAACUGUUUAGCUAAUUUAGCAUUUGUCUUUCCUUUAUGUUUGUUUUAUUUAUGCUGUAUUUUAUUUUCAUGUAGCAAUCCUUGCAAAACUUAUAUAUUUUUUUGUUGUACUAACUUUCUCCUGCUCUAAGAUGUCACCUCUGCCAACCUCACUGGACAAACAAUUGAUUUUAUUUUCUAUUAUCAUAGAUUUGACUUCAGAUUAGCAAUUAAUUUGAUACUUUUGAUACUUGAUAAAUGAGAUGAUAUGAUAUAUCACAAGACAAAAUAUCCCACCCCUACUAUUUGGUACGCAAGAGGCGCCAAAAGUAAUGGGAACAGAAAAGUCCCCUCAGGAGCUUUAGGUAGACAGUCAUUCAAAAUGAUUACUCUUCUCGCUGUUAUAGUUUACAACCUCACUAUUGCUAUUAAAAAAAGUAUCCUGUGAUUCGCCUCAUCAGACUCAGUUGUUCAAAGCACACACAAACUCAGGGCUUGCAGUGUUCUGAACAGUGUACACGAUAUCACAUUGCAAAACGCAUGUUUUGUUUCUCCUUGAAUGCUCAGACACCUUUUCUUCCAAUGCCAGAGUGAACUGUCAGUGGAGACAUGCCUCUCUCUGAAGAUAAAAGCCCAUGUAGAUGGCAGUAUUACAGAUUUGCUGCUGGAUGUACACACACUGUCAGUGUUUGAUGUGACAGCUGAUAUGAGAUGUCUCUAAUCUGCGAGCUCUCAGACACAUAACAUUACUCUUAUCUCAGAGUGUUAAUUUGAGCACACGCUUGUUGAAUCCGAGUAGACUGGCUUAGCUCUCUGUGUUUUCUUUUAUUUCCUCUAUAAUGACUGGUUCUUAUGACACAGCAUUAGCAUUAGGUGUGGUGCAGGAUGGAUGCCAGGAGAGAAGAAGCAAAGACAUUACGAGACAGAGGAUUAAAGAGCGUGUAACCAUCAGAUGAAAGAAUAAUUAUUGAGAAAAGAGUUUCGAAGGAGGAGAGGUGGGCAGGCUGAGGCAGGAGUGGAGUGAAGUGGAGGUAGACUGAAGGAGAGAGAGGCGGGAAGAUAGCAUCUCACUCUGAGUCAUGCCUGCACGAUUGAACAGAUGGUGUGUGCUUGGGAGAGUGUGUGUGCGCUUGCCACUGUGAAACAAAGCGUGUUUCUGCAGGUGCUCUUCCACUGUAUGUGCAUGUGAAUUUGCAUGUGUUUCCUCCUACACCUGUCUCUGCAGUGUCUAUAUAGUAGCACCGUGACACCUAAAAAUCACAGGAAUCUACCAGAGAUGCAGGACGUUCUUUGCCCUGUAGAAUACACUCAAACACACAACAUGUACUCAGAGAGACAGUAGAUGCAAUUCAUACCACUGUGUAGGAAAUUGAAAAUAUGCCCCAGGACAUUCGAGAGGUGUUGACCCAGUCAUUCUGGCUGAAAGAUGGGAUCUUUUGUGGCUUUGCUGCUACAAAAGCGCUGUGUAAUGGAGUCCAAUGAGAGUAAAAUGAGCGACAAUCACCAUCUUAUAUCCAGUGAUGUCACCAGACCAGUUACAUGAAUGCCUUUUGCAUGCUUUGCAAUCACUUUUCCCCAUAUCUAAAGAUCUUGGCAUUUCGACUGCAUGAUAACAGAUGGCUCAGUGUUUGGUAAUUAUGUCAAACAAGGGGCGUCUAUUUCUCUGAUAAGAUAGCUCGGCUACAGUAUGAUGGUAAGUUUCCAAUCUUACAGGGCUAACGUAUUUUAACACUGAUAAGUUACUACCAUUCUAAUUCACUUCCAUUGUACUCCAUUAUAGGUUAUAUUUUUACACUUUCAAGGUUGUUAAUUAAAAUCAAGUGUUUUUCAGGCUAUAAUUCGCACCAGCCAAAAAAUGCAUAAUGAAGAAGAAAAAACAUAUACCAGUAUAAGUUGCUUUUUUGGGGGGAAAUCUGUGUUGCAAAAUCCAAGACAAAGAACAGACAUUUCAUCUCGAAAGGCAAAUUAUAAUAAUAAUAGAAUAGAGAACAACAAGCUAAAUAGGUGUACCGUAUGCUAACGUAACAUCUUGAUGGUUAUGCAGCAUAAAACAACAAACUCAGCAGAUGUCUGGUAUGUUAACAUAACAUAUAAACAGUUAUUCAGAUAAGUUUUAGCAUAAAGAACAUAACAAACAAAGUUUACCAAACUCUCGAUCUGAGUCGAUAUGAGUUAACGUCAAUUUUAAAUUUUCGGUGGUACAGAAGUAGCAGAUACUGGUACAUCAGCCUAGAGUGCCCUCUAGCGGCUGUCAGUGUAAAAAUAACAAAAAUGUGAAAUUAUAUAUUUUAAUAUAUAAAAGCCGCACCUGAGUAUAAGUCGCAAACCCAGCCGAACAACGAAAAAAAUGGGACUUAUCGUCCAGAAUAUACGGUAAAUUUAAUCUUUGACCUUUUUGAGCAAAAUAUUCCUACUUUUCAGCUGUUUCAUUUUCACACUAAUGUCGCAAAGUUUCAAUAAAGAGUUAAUUAAGGAGAUGAUUUGUCGUAUCUGAUACUUCUGUUCUACUUUAACUGUUGUUGCAGAACAAAAAUUAUGCCUGCUGUACAUUUUUGUCCACUGUGAAAAUACAGUAAACUGAUAGUCAACCUUAAGUGUGCAAAUGUGAAGUCUUUAAGUUGCUGGAACACAUGGGCACGGCCUACGUGCUCUGGGUGUGCUUUGUGUGAGGAAAAGAACACGUGUCAGCAUAAUUGAAUAUGCCCAGGUGUCGGUGUUUGAGCUAGCAGGAAGGUGUGUGCCUGGUUGUCUGCAAGUAAGUGUGUAAGGGUUUGUGUAUGCACUUGAAAUGCUGAUACAUCUUUUAUGAGAUUCACACCCAGCUUUCCAUUUUUUGCAGCAGGGGGUCCUCGCUAACAGAUGGCGCGCACACACUUGGUUCACACUCACACAAGGUUUAUUGAGAACAGCAGAGACUUUUUAUCAAAGGAACAACUACUGCAGGGGCUAGAAAGUUCCUGGAGUAGUUUAGAUUAUUGCUGUUAUAGAUGUUCAUCUCUGCAAAACCGAUUUGAUUUCUUUUAGUGGUUAUUCUGUUAAAGCCCUCGACCGGCAGCUCUGUGGUAGACAGCAGCUGUUUUUCUUAAGUGCAUUUCCACAAUUUGGGUCUGUGUAAAAAGCUUUUUAAACUUCUUCACAGGCAGUCCAAUCACCUACACCUGUGGGCUCAGCGUCUUUCAUAUUUAAGGGGAUUUGGACUAACUUUACCUUGUUGCCAGGUGUAGUUGAAUUGAGGAAACAUGCAUCCCUUUUCAAACCGCACUUUCCCCUAACAGUUUCCUCUCCUCU